rnacentral:rRNA from 1 species
UAACCUGCCUGGUAGCGGGGGAUAACUAUUGAACGAUAGCUAAUACCGCAUAAGAGUAGAUGUUGCAUGACAUUGCUUAAAAGGUGCAAUUGCAUCACUACCAGAUGGACCUGCGUUGUAUUAGCUAGUUGGUGAGGUAACGGCUCACCAAGGCGACGAUACAUAGCCGACCUGAGAGGGUGAUCGGCCACACUGGGACUGAGACACGGCCCAG